rnacentral:tRNA from 1 species
GGGGUUGUGGCUCGGUGGUAGAGCACUUGCCUAGCACUUAUGAGGCACUGAGUUCUAUCCUCAGCACCCCA